rnacentral:misc_RNA from 1 species
CCGAGUUAUACAACUCCCAAACCCGUGUGAACUUAUACCAUACCGUUGCUUCGGCGGGCUUCGACGCCCGGGACCGCACCCGCACUCCAGGCCUCGCCGGACGCGGCAGGCCCCGGGGGCGCGCCCGCCGGAGGACCCAAACUCUUCUGUAUCUACGCUACGCAUGUCUGAGUGGAUUUAAUAUCAAUGAAUCA